rnacentral:rRNA from 1 species
UACGUAGGGUGCAAGCGUUAAUCGGAAUUACUGGGCGUAAAGCGUGCGCAGGCGGUGAUGUAAGACAGGUGUGAAAUCCCCGGGCUUAACCUGGGAACUGCAUUUGUGACUGCAUCGCUGGAGUGCGGCAGAGGGGGGAUGGAAUUCCGCGUGUAGCAGUGAAAUGCGUAGAGAUGUGGAGGAAUACCGAUGGCGAAGGCAGCCCCCUGGGAUAACACUGACGCUCAUGCACGAAAGCGUGGGGAGCAAACAGG